rnacentral:rRNA from 1 species
UGAACGCUGGCGGCGUGCCUAAUACAUGCAAGUCGAGCGAACGGACGAGAAGCUUGCUUCUCUGAUGUUAGCGGCGGACGGGUGAGUAACACGUGGAUAACCUACCUAUAAGACUGGGAUAACUUCGGGAAACCGUAGCUAAUACCGGAUAAUAUUUUGAACCGCAUGGUUCAAAAGUGAAAGACGGUCUUGCUGUCACUUAUAGAUGGAUCCGCGCUGCAUUAGCUAGUUGGUAAGGUAACGGCUUACCAAGGCAACGAUGCAUAGCCGACCUGAGAGGGUGAUCGGCCACACUGGAACUGAGACACGGUCCAGACUCCUACGGGAGGCAGCAGUAGGGAAUCUUCCGCAAUGGGCGAAAGCCUGACGGAGCAACGCCGCGUGAGUGAUGAAGGUCUUCGGAUCGUAAAACUCUGUUAUUAGGGAAGAACAUAUGUGUAAGUAACUGUGCACAUCUUGACGGCACCUAAUCAGAAAGCCACGGCUAACUACGUG